GCUUUUGUGCGGUUCAACGAUUUUUUGUCGGUUUUCUAAUUACCAGUUUUAUAUACCUGCUCGGUCUGUUAGUGUUAUUAGUUUGCGGUUAAACCGAUCCAAUCGACCGGUCCGUCCAGUUUCCAGGUUUAUUGUUGAGAACAAAAACCGCCCUCAAUUAAGCAUCAACACAUUUUGCGUUCAAUAGUGAGGUUGCAAUUAUUCAUCUUUUUAUUGCAAUAUUUUUUCUGUAGGAGCUGCAUGAAAGAGGUCCAGAUGGAGGACCAUGCUCUACUCUCUUCAUUGCAAAUCUUGGUCCAAACUGCACUGAAGAUGAACUGAGAAAAACUUUCUCAGUGUAUGCUGGAUUCAACAUGGUCAAAAUCCGUUCUAGAGGAGGAAUGCCGGUUGCAUUUGCUGAUUUUGAUGAAGUUGAACAAGCUACUAAGGUCAUGGAGCAGCUUCAGGGCAGCAUGCUGUCGUCGUCAGAUCGGGGUGGCAUGCACAUACAGUAACUUCGAACCUAAUGGUUUCUAUUAAUUUUAGAAACUCUAGCUAGGAUUGAUGUCUUAUGUCCCUAAAUAUUUUCUUGU